UCGAUCCUGAGGAGACUGUGCCACCAGGCCUGGAAAUAAAGCCUUUGCUCCCCAAAUUUCAAUCUCUUGCUUCCUUGGAUUUUAUUCCGGGGUGUGAGCUAUCACAUUUGGGGGCUCGUCCAGGAUGGGAGCAAGACGCCAGACUCAUUUCUGAAUGUUUGGAAUCCCCUCAGGAUGGAGUUCUAGCAGCCUUUAAACCGAAGAUGAAGGCCAAAGAGGCGGCUUCCAGACCCAAUGCACCUCCAGUCCUGCCUCCAAGUGAAGACUCUUCUGACCCACUGGAUAUUCUUCCCUUGCCCCCACCUCCAUACCCUGCCCCUGAACCCCAACCUGACUGCACCACCCCUUCCCUGCCCUGCCUCAUCUGAACCCACCACCACCCUUGGCCUGAGGGACCUCUGGGAUAGGGUCCCGAGGUGGCUCCAUUAUGCCCUUUGCAGGAAGUUCCUGCCCCGAGUGGGAGCUCCAUGUUUGUGUAUACCCCCUUCUCUUUCUCUGACCUCUAUAACUGGAAAGCUCAGAACCCCCCUUUCUCGAAGGGCCCAGAAUCUCUGAUUAACCUUAUAGAAUCUGUUUUCUCUACCCAUCACCCCACUUGGAACAACUGUCAGCAGAUCUUACGCAUCCUUUUCACAGCUGAGGAAAGGAUGUGUAUCUGCACUUUAGGACAAAAGGGAGUUCGAGAUCUGGACAGAUUUCCAUCCGCUGAUUGGCAAAGAGUCGAAUAUCUGUUUCCUUCCUCCCAACCCGAGUGGGACCCCAACACAGAUGCAGGAGACACAUGGGGAUGAAAAUCAUACCCAAAGAUGACAGCUAGUUUGGCUGGUCCAGCAUGAUUUUCUUUGAGUUCCUGAGUGUCUGGAACCUCUCUUGGGAUGAGACCUCCUCCAUAAAUUGCAAGUGCAAAUUGACUUCUUCACAAAUGAGCCAAGACUGAAGCUGGGAACAGAUAAAAAUCCGGACUCGGAAGGUAUUAGAGUGCUAGCUCUUGUCCCAGAAGGGGAAAAUUACCGCCUACUGGGAAAUGUGUCCGGUGUACCUGAGCCAUCACAAACUGACUCAGAAUUAAAACUGUUAAGUAAAUGGAAACAGGAAAUUCCAGAAGUCUGGGCAGAAACCAACCUCCCAGGGCUAGCAAUUAACCAAGUUCCCCUUGUGGUGGAGCUCUUGCCCCAAGCACACCCCAUUUGUUUUCAGCAAUUCUGAUAAGCCUGCAGGCCUGAAAAGGGAUCAAAGUCCACAUUCAGAGACUAAGAGACAAUGGUAUUCUCAUUCCUUGUGUCUCUCCAUGGAACACGCCCCUGCUUCCAGUUCAGAAGCUGGGGACAAAUGACUAUUGCCCUGUACAGGAUCCCUGAGAAGCUAAUAGACGAGUUCUGACUCUACACCCAACAGUGCCAAAUCCUUACACUCUGCUCAGCCUUCUCAACCCAGAAUACACCUGGUAUUCUGUUCUGGACCUGAAGGAUGCUUUCUUCACUCUGCCUCUUGCUCCAGUGAGUCAACCCUUUUUGCCUUCAAAUGGACUGACCCAGAUUCAGGGGUAAAAGAACAGCUAACCUGGACACGCUUACCUCAGGGUUUAAAGAACUCUCCCACCCUUUUUGAUGAGGCAUUAGCAAGAGAUCUUUUGGGAUUUAGGGAGGAGCACCCCGAGAUAGUGCUCCUCCAGUAUGUGGAUGACUUGUAAAUAGCCUCAACAUCCCUAAAAGCUUGUCAAGAGGCAACUGAGGAACUGUUAAGGACUUUGGGGUGAUUAGGCUAUAAAGUCUCGGCCAAAAAGGCCCAAUUGUGCCAUCAGACUGUGACUUAUCUGGGCUACAAACUACAGGAAGGAAAGAGGACUUUGUCUAAGGAAAGAGUCCAUGCCAUAUUGCAGAUCCCAUCCCCAGAAACUAAGAAACAGGUGCGUGAAUUUCUGGGAACUGUCGGAUACUGCAGGCUGUGGAUUCUAAGUUUUACUGAAAUCACUCACCCACUAUAUGACUCUCUUAAGGGGGAGAUCCAAAAACCACUAGAUUGGACAGACAAAUGCGAGCAGGCUUUCCAACAACUCAAGGAGGCUCUGACUGAGGCUCCAGCCCUAGGGCUCCCUGAUGUUACCAAGCCAUUCAUCUUGUUCAUAGAUGAACUCAGAGGCAUCACAAAAGGAGUUUUAACUCAAGACAUUGGCCCUUGAAAGAGGCCUAUAGCCUACCUUUCCAAAAGACUUGAUCCAGUAGCAGGAGGAUGGCCUCCAUGCCUAAGAAUUCUAGCCACUGUGGCAAUGCUACUCAAAGAGGCUAAGAAACUUACCUUUGGACAGAGGAUUUCUGUGGUGACUUCCCACAGUUUAGAGACUCUUAUUAAAACCCCUCCUGAAAAAUGGCUCUCAAAUGCCAGAAUUCUGCACUAUCAGGCUCUACUCUUAGACCCAGAAUCAGUAAUUUUCAAGACUUCCUCAGCUUUAAACCCAGCCACCCUUAUGCCCAAUGAUGACCCAGAGAGUCAACAGACACCUCUCCAUGAGUGUGCUGACAUUCUCAAGCUGCAGCAGAACUUGCGGGCUGAUCUUACCAACCAGCCUUUGGAAAAUGCUGACAACUAUUUCACCGAUGGAACAGCUUCAUCCAGGAUGGCAAGUGAGUGGCUGGCGCAGCAGUGACUACCGAAAAAGAGGUACUCUGGGUCAAACGGUUAGAGCCUGGCACUUCUGCCCCAAAAGGCAGAGCUCAUUGCUCUGACAGAGGCAUUAAAGCUAGCUGCGGGAAAUAGGGUAAACAUCUACACUGACAGCAGAUAUGCUUUUGCUACUGUGCAUGUACAUGGGGCCAUCUAUCACAAGCGAGACCUUUUGACCUCGGCCGGGACUAAGAUUAAAAAUGCUCCACAGAUCCUAGACUUGCUGGCAGCUGUCUGGCUACCUCAGUGGGUUGCUAUUAUUCAUUGCAAAGCACACCAAACAGGAGACAACCCUGUCACCAUAGGAAACAAUUUGGCAGAUUAAGCCACCAGAAAAAUAGCAACCACAUCGGAGGGGCCUAUUGAGGAAGUAACUGCUCUGAUGUUAGUCCCUCCAGUGUUGUCAAAACCAGUCGAUGCAAAGACAGAUUUACAGUUAGCAUCUCAACUUGGAGCAAAGCCCCUCAUCCCGGGGGGCUGGUACCAGUUGCCUGACAAGCGGGUGUUAUUACCAGAGGCACUAGGGUGAGAACUGUUAUACCAAGCUCAUCAGACUACCCAUUUAGGAAAAACUAAACUGGCUGAAUUGUUCAGAAAUCGGUUUUUUAUUCCAAAACUCUCCAAACUGACUGCCUCUUUGAGCCUGUUGGUCAACCCGACCAAGAACUCUCCACUGGAGACCACCUGACAUUGAAGAACCUCUCCAGGAGAACAUAGCAAAGUGCACUUUACAGACAUGGUAAAACCUGGCACACAGGGACACCGCUAUCUCUUGGUAAUGAUAGACACCUUCACUGGCUGGGUAGAGGCUUUCCCCACUAAGUCAGAAUCAGCCUUAGUAGUAGUUAAAAAGCUGUUACAUGAGAUUAUACCUCGAUUUGGCCUUCCAUUGUCAAUGGGGUCCAACAAUGGCCUGGCUUUCAUAGCCCAAGUUACCCAAAAGUUAGCUCAGGUAUUAAAAAUUGAUUGGAAACUUCACUGUGCCUAUCAGCCACAAAGUUCAGGACAAGUAGAAUGCAUGAACUGGACCAUCAAGGACACUUUAACUAAGUUAUCUCUAGAAACUGGUGAUAAUUGGGUGAGCCUUCUUCCCUUUGCACUAUUGAGGGCAAAGUGUACCCCAUAUAUUUCUGGAAUUUCCCCCUUUGAAGCUAUGUUUGGGAGACCUCCACCAUUAGUCCUUAGGUUGUCAGAAGACAAAUUACCUGAAAUAACUAAUCAAGAUCUCAUUAAGUCCCUGCAGAAUCUCCAGCCUGUGCUGACCUCAAUCCAUUAGCUGUUUAGACAAAAACAUCCAAACCCACCCUCGGAGACGCCACUCAAAGUGCUGAUUAAGCCAGGGACUUCGGUCCUGGUGUGAUGCCACCACCAGGACUCACUUGAACCUCCCUGGGAAGGACCUUUCACCAUGGUGCUCAGCACUCCCACCUCCAUCAAGGUAGCAGAAAAGACUGUGUGGAUCCACCACACCCAUGUCAAACCACUGGAAGCGACAGAUGACAAAGAAAAUCCUCGGUGGACUGUACAACGUUCUGGUAACCCAUUAAAGUUAAAAUUUGUAAAGGACCCUUAGCCAUAAAAUCAUGUUUGUAUUGUGGUAUCUAGCUUGGUACUCAAUUGUAACUGUAAGCCCCAGAAAUGGGGACUGAAUUAUUUCAGAUGAGAAAACUAGAAAGGAAUUAGGUAGGGCUAAAGGCAUGACCAAUCAGAUCACCAUUGACUUGUGUACACUCUUUGAUGGUAAUAUAAUUAAUGAUGACAGUAUGACUAGCAGAAUGGGUGAACCGGUCCCAAGCAACUUCUGCACUGGCCGUGGACCCAAAGCUCUGUAAGUUAUGUUUCACAUCCACAGGCAUCCUUGUAUGUAUGUCCUAAGAACCAAGCUGACCCCAAUUAUAAUGUUUACUGUGCCUCAGAUCCAAAACAAUGAUAUUGCUAUUCAUGGUCGUGUGUUACAGGAGGCCUAAAUGGGUAUUAUAAUUUUGAAAAAUAUCUCGCUGUCAAGUACAUAGGAAAUAAAAACUGUUAUAAUGCAUAUGCAUAUACGCAUAUGCAUAUGCGUAUCCUAGUCCAGCUAACCUUUCUAAAUCCAAUGGAUUUUUGGUGGCUAGGACAGGGGCUUACUUAUACUAUUAAGAUCUAUAAAACUGGAUAUGAUCCCGGAGUUAGUAUUAAUAUCCUAUAUAAACCACCUAGAAAGGCUCCUAUGGUCCUUUACAGGGAAGAACGCUGCCCAGUAGUGGCCCCCACUCCAGUAAAAGUGCCCACUAAGUCCACACCAAGUUGACUCCAGAGGCAUACCCCGAGGCCCCCGGUGGCCGAGGCCAUAUGCAAUGGAACCCUAUACCAUACAACCAGGUAACCAAUCAGGUAUACCAACCCCAGGUAAAAUUGUGCGGGUGGAAGGGAAAAGGGGACCUUGAAUAUUGGAUAGAGGUUGAGGUGCCUGGUCCUGAUCCAACCCUGAUUCAACCUACAACUGCUCAGAGGCUGCAAGAGACCAGUUUGGGAAAGUCUAGAUGGGCACUUACUGAGUCCGAUACUCCCACACUGCCUUCAGUGACAACGGAGAUAUUCCAACCCUUAGUGGCUGAGCUACUUAAUAACUCCAAUGAUAGUGGUUUGACAAUCCCAUGCGGGCUAUGUCUGUCCCCCGAACCCCUUUCUAUGAGGGAUACAUCACAGUCACUGAUAAACUGGCCUCUAAUCCCUCCAGAUGUGAUAUAUUCCUCCCUCAAUCUCUAUGGAAAAGUACCAGUCUAGAAGGUAUAAAUGGUACCUGCAUAUAUCACUCCAGCCACACACAGCUCCUAAAUAUUGUGACCUCUCUCACUCCUAUCGCAUCACAGGGACUGGUGACACUACUCCCAUAGUGGCCCCAGCCAGCCAUUGGUGGGCUUGUACUUCAGGAUGGUUCCCUUGUAUUGUUUCAAGAAAGUUUGUUAUUGACCAGGACAAGGUUUGUGUACUAACCCAGAUCCUGCCUAGAAUAUACUGGCACUCCAAAGAAGAAGGAAACAGGGCCCUCAUCUCCACCAGCCACCAAAUAAAUAAGAGAAGUCCAGUUCUUCCUAUUAUGGCUGGAAUCAGUAUAUUCUCAGCUCUUGGGUUGGGUGCUGCCUCCAUGGGAGUUAGUAUACAUCAAUACAACAUGUUAUCCCAACAGGUAGAUGAGGGAAUGAAAUGGAUUCACAGUGCCAAUGAGGCCUUAGAAAACUCAACUGACUCAUUAGCUGAAGUAGCUCUCCCAAAUCGCAGAGGGCUAGACCUUCUAUUAGCUGAAAAAGGAGGACUAUUCUUGGCCUUGGGAGAACAAUGCUGCCUGUAUGCUAAUAAGUCUGGGAUAGUAAAACAAAAUCUAGCCAAACUCCAGAAAAGUAUACAAGAAAGGGAAAAACUAAGGCAAGGAACUCCAGGGUGAAUGAAACAAAUGUUCUCCCUCCUACAGUGGAUGACUAGUAUAAUAGCGACCGUAGCUGGUCCUCUUGUUAUGAUUCUAGUGUUAGUUACUUUAGGUCCCUGCAUAAUCAAUAGGCUGACUGCGUGUAUCAGGCAACAGAUGCAGAAUAUAAAACUAAUGAUGGUUAGACAGCAAACAUACGAGCUUGUCCCCAGAGGCCUUUAAGUAAUUAGGCCAAAGAUUUGGCCUAAAGUCACAACAUCAGAGGGGAAUGUUAUAGCCUAAGCUCUAACUGCUGCGCGCAUUGCCUGUUCUGAAUGCAUCGUACUGCUCCCCCUCCCCUUCCCCCUUCAUAUCUAACUAGGUUAAGUUUCAGUUUCCUGAAAGGCUGUAAAAAGCCUUAAGUUUCAGUUUCUGGUAACCUCCUUCCCUACCUGGUGGUCUAUCAUAAAAUGUGCUAAUUGUGCUGUUCCUUAAAAAGUGCUUGCUGUUCUUUAAGAAAUGCUUAACCUCAAGGAAAUUACAGGAAGUUCUGUAAGGCCAGUUGCUAUCUAGCUGUGUCAACAGUAACAGCAUUCCUGUGGUUUUUAACUUUAAAAGCCACUUCCCUUAGCUGUGAGGUGCACAGUCUUCGGGUCGAUCCUGAGGAGACUGUGCCACCAGGCCUAGAAAUAAAGCCUUUUCUCCCCAAAUUUCAA